CUACGGGCGGCUCCAGUGGGGAAUAUUGCACAAUGGGGGAAACCCUGAUGCAGCGAUGCCGCGUGAACGAAGAAGGCUUUCGAGUCGUAAAGUUCUGUUCUUAGGGAAGAAAAUGACGGUACCUAAGGAGAAAGCACCGGCUAAAUACGUGCCAGCAGCCGCGGUAAUACGUAUGGUGCAAGCGUUGUCCGGAAUUACUGGGCGUAAAGAGUUCGUAGGCGGUCAAAUAAGUCAGGAGUGAAAGGCUGCGGCUCAACCGUAGUGAGCUUUUGAAACUGUUUGACUUGAGUACUGGAGAGGAAAGUGGAAUUCCUAGUGUAGCGGUGAAAUGCGUAGAUAUUAGGAGGAACACCAGUGGCGAAGGCGGCUUUCUGGACAGUAACUGACGCUGAGGAACGAAAGCGUGGGGAGCAAACAGGAUUAGAUACCCCGGUAGUC
rnacentral:rRNA from 1 species